rnacentral:lncRNA from 1 species
UCCGAUAAUGUUGCAUCUGUUAAAAGUUGUGAAAGUUUCCCAAUUUCUCCUAGCAAUGAUGAUAUGGUGGCAGAACUAGCUGUCGGAAUUAAUGAUUCUCUAUCAGUGGAAGAUACAAAGCUAUGUGAUAUUGCGAGAACAGAGACGGAGGUUGAUAGCUUACAUGCUGAUGAUAGUGGAAUUACUGAAGUUGAUGCAAAAGUAGAAGCUGGAGAUGAUAAUUGCCCUGCUUAUGAUGUGAAGCCAGAUAUUGGGACUGUUUCCCCUUCCAUUGAACCAGAAGAGAAAGUAUCUUCAAGCAGCCCUGCUAAUGAUGUGAAGCCAGAUAUUGGGACUGUUUCCCAUUCCAUUGAACCUGAAGAGAAAGUAUCUUCAAGCAGCCCUGCUAAUGAUGUGAAGCCAGAUAUUGGGACUGUUUCCCCUUCCAUUGGAUCUGAAGAGAAAUUAUCUUCAAGCAACCCUGCUAAUGAUGUGAAGCCAGAUAUUGGGACUGUUUCCCCUUCCAUUGGACCUGAAGAGAAAGUAUCUUUAAGCAGCCCUGCUAAUGAUGUGGAGCCAGAUAUUGGGACUGUUUCUCAUUCCAUUCAACCUGAAGAGAAAAUAGAUAUUGUUGCUGCUGAGGUGGGGAAAGGAGCUUUGAAAGUAGAUGUUGCUGAGGUG